rnacentral:rRNA from 1 species
AGCUCCAAUAGCGUAUAUUAAAGUUGUUGCAGUUAAAACGCUCGUAGUCGGAUUUCGGGGCGGGUCUGCUGGUUUGCCGAUGGGUAUAUACUGGCGGGUGCGUCCUUCCUUCCGGAGACCGCGCCUCCUCUUAACUGAGCGGGCGUGGGAGACGGAUCGUUUACUUUGAAAAAAUCAGAGUGUUUCAAGCAGGCAUGUCGCUCUUGCAUGGAUUAGCAUGGGAUAAUGAAAUAGGACUUUGGUGCUAUUUUGUUGGUUUCGAGCACCGAAGUAAUGAUUAACAGGGACAGUCAGGGGCACUCGUAUUCCGCAGAGAGAGGUGAAAUUCUAGACCCG